ACUCCUACGGGAGGCAGCAGUGGGGAAUAUUGGACAAUGGGCGCAAGCCUGAUCCAGCCAUGCCGCGUGGGUGAUGAAGGCCUUAGGGUUGUAAAGCUCUUUCAGUAGGGAAGAUAAUGACGGUACCUACAGAAGAAGCCCCGGCUAACUUCGUGCCAGCAGCCGCGGUAAU
rnacentral:rRNA from 1 species